AUGACCUUCACCAUCAUCUUCAUCUCGACACUUUUAUUUUUGUUAAAAGGGUGUAAAUCACAGAUCACAAUAACUCAAAGUCCUUCAAUGAAAACUGCAGCACGAGGAGACUCUGUUACUCUGAACUGUAAACACAGUUCUCCGUCAACCUGUAACCCAAAUUCCUGUGUGUCCUGGUACUUACAGAAACCUGGAGAAGCUCCUAAACUCCUGAUAUAUUAUACAAACAGCCUUCAGUCUGGAACUCCAUCAAGAUUCAGUGGCAGUGGAUCAAACACAGAUUUUACUCUGAGCAUCAGUGAAGUUCAGACUGAAGAUGCAGGAGAUUAUUACUGUGUGGGUCAACACUAUAUCAGUAGUAGCUGGGUGUUCACACAGUGA